CUCAGGAUGAACGCUAGCGGCGCGCUUAACGCAUGCAAGUCGAGCGAUGAGGCUCCCUUCGGGGGGUACAUCAGCGGCAGACGGGUGAGUAACACGUAGGUAACCUGCCCUCAAGACGGGGAUAACGCCUGGAAACGGGCGCUAAUACCGGAUGACCUUGGUCGGGGAAGCUUCGGCUAAGGAAAGGCUUUGGCGCUUGAGGAGGGGCCUGCGGCCCAUCAGUUAGUUGGUAGGGUAACGGCCUACCAAGGCGAAGACGGGUAGGGGGUGUGAGAGCACGGCCCCCCACACUGGGACUGAGACACGGCCCAGACUCCUACGGGAGGCAGCAGCGGGGAAUAUUGCGCAAUGGACGGAAGUCAGACGCAGCGACGCCGCGUGGGUGAAGAAGGCCUUCGGGUUGUAAAGCCCUUUUCUGUGGGAAGAGAAAGGACGGUACCAUAGGAAUAAGCGUCGGCUAACUACGUGCCAGCAGCCGCGGUAAGACGUAGGACGCGAGCGUUAUCCGGAUUUACUGGGCGUAAAGCGUGUGUAGGCGGCGUGACAAGUUGGGCGUGAAAGCCCCGUGCUCAACGCGGGGAGGCCGCACAAUACUGUCAGGCUAGAGGGCAUCAGAGGGGUGUGGAAUUCCCGGAGUAGCGGUAAAAUGCGCAGAUAUCGGGAGGAACACCGGUGGCGAAAGCGGCACCCUGGGGUGCACCUGACGCUGAGAGACGACAGCUAGGGGAGCGAACAGGAUUAGAGACCCUGGUAGUCCUAGCCGUAAACGAUGGAUGCUAGGUGUGGGAGUGAAGAACUUCUGUGCCGCA
rnacentral:rRNA from 1 species